CAGUGGAAAGGUCUCGUCCCAUGAGGAGUCUCCCUGGACUGUUCUUCAGCGGCUCCCUUUCCACCCCGCUCCGCUCUCAUCCGCUCAGGGAAUGAUGUUCCUCCUGGAUAAUCCCCACCACAGCCGUGCACACCUGGCUCCAGCAGAAGAAAGCUGGGAGCUUCUGGGAGAGCCGGUCGGCAACUGGACCAGUUCCUGAUGGAGUCAAGUGCGGAGUUUGUUGAUGUCUGACUGUCCUGCAAAGCCACCUCAACGUGGCAAGAAGCUGAUUUGCACCAGCAAACACUUCACGUGUCUCUUUCCUUAGGAUUUGUUUCUCACUGCUUGAAUAGGUUAAUUUUUAGCUGAAAAACGUAGCUCUUGCUAACUUAAUUUUGAGAACCUCUGGGGUAAGACCCUCCAUAGGAACCUGGUUGGCCCAGCAGCAAGAGGCUUGGGGAUGCAUCUUGGGGCAAAUUCCCAAGAUUGAUUUCUCUUACAAAUCCCGUCCUCAUGUGGUUUUGGCUGAGCACAGAUGUCUUGUAAUAGGCGUCUGAUA